GACAACGUGUCCGAGUGGUUAAGGAGAUAGACUUGAAUUCAAUUCAGACAUCUAUUGGCUUCGGCCUCGCAAGUUCGAAUCUUGUCGUUGUCG
rnacentral:tRNA from 1 species